UUGUCAUUUUUACUGCAGUGCUAUCGCAGACAUCUUCAAGCAAGUGCAAUCUUAAAAAGAAAGCAAUCCAAAAGAAGAUAAAGCAGUACCGAGGCAAAUGUCUGAAGAAAGGAUUCAAAUCAUCUAUUAGUUGCGAGAUGGAAAAAGGAAAAUUGAGCAAGAAGGCCACGAAGAAAUGUCACAAGCUUGAGGGAACUUUGAAAAAGUGUGACUACUCCUGCCAGCCCCCAAUUGAUGGAGGUUGGACUGACUACAGAGAAUGGACCGCGAUAGUUUGCUCAAGGAAAUGUGGGGGAGGAAAUAAAAUAAGGAGACGAUCUUGCAGUAACCCUGCCCCAACGUUUGGUGGAGCUGAUUGUGAAGGAAAAGCUGAGGAAUCCCAAAAAUGUAACACUGAAAAAUUUCCAGGCUGGACUGAUUAUGGAGCAUGGUCAUCAUGUCAGGGAGGGUCUCAAACAAGGAGAAGAUCCUGCACAAUGUCUGGUGAAGCUGAUUGUGAAGGAAAUGCUGAUGAAUCCCGAAAAUGCGCAGUUAACGGUGGUUGGAGCGGUUUUACAGCAUGGUCACAAUGUUCAAACACGUGUGGUCGUGGAGUCCAGGGGAGGUCCAGAUCAUGUACCAACCCAACACCAGUUAACGAAGGAAGACAAUGUUCAGGGUCAAGGGAACAGACACAGCAAUGUUAUGAAACAAGUAGCUGUGGUGCUCAUGGUCUGAAGAUAUGUUUCCGGGAGUCCGAAGGUAGCAGUCAAUGUCAAGGUAAUAGAAACACCUGCAG